UCGUAGGCGCCACCGGCAAAGA
rnacentral:sRNA from 1 species